AGCAGCCGCAGUAAUUCCAGCUCCAAUAGCGUAUAUUAAAGUUGUUGCAGUUAAAAAGCUCGUAGUUGAAUUUCGGAAUCAGUAAGCCAGUCAUGCUUCGGUAUGUACUAGUGUCACUGAUUCCUUCCUUCUGACGAACCGUCAUGCCAUUAAUUUAGUGUGAUGUGGAAAUCAGGACUGUUACUUUGAAAAAAUUAGAGUGUUUAAAGAAGGCUCGCGCUUGAAUACAUUAGCAUGGAAUAAUGAAAUAGGACGUUUGAUCUUAUUUUGUUGGUUUCUAGGAUCGAUGUAAUGAUUAAUAGGGAUAGUUGGGGGCAUUAGUAUUCAAUUGUCAGAGGUGAAAUUCUUGGAUUUAUUGAAGACUAACUACUGCGAAAGCA
rnacentral:rRNA from 1 species